CUAGUUUUUGCUGUUUGGUAGUGUUGAUUGCAGUGUGAUUGAAGUAGGUCUAAAGCAAUUAGUUCUCAGGUAAUUAAUCAAGAGUAGUUUCAGGCUUCCUUAAGGUGUGAAUUGUGGGCAGGGCUUAGCUACAUAUAUUGAAGGUGUCUCCGCUACAGACACUUGUGUCUGUAGCGGUUAAUAAGAAUAUCCUGCAACAAAGGUAGUGCACAGAGAAUUGAUUUAAACUCUUGUUUGCCAAGAAGUUACAAGUUUUUAUAGACAGUUACCUCAGUCUAGCAUGUGUCUUCAACCUAUCUCUGUCAGUUCUCACAGACCAAGAUGCUUUUACUCACACAGCAGAGGCAGAUCUCCCAGAAACCUCAUCUACCCUCCAGUACUGUCUCAUUGUCCUGCACUGGUGAACUCAGCUACACCGGCUGCCCUAUCCUCUGCCUAUGUAUUCUCUCACACUCCACGAGAAACUGGCAGAGGUGGUGGUACGGGUCUCCUGUUGUCCAAGAGGUGGUCCUUCUCGCCCAUCACCCUGUCUCAUCUCAGUUUUUCAUCAUUUGAAUUUCAUGCAGUUAAGAUCUCCUUUGCCCGCUGUCAUCUAAACCAAGGAAGAAAUCUUGUCCUGCUCCUUGGCUAUCUGAUGUACUGCGCAACAACAGGAGAGAAUUAAGAACUGCGGAGAGAAGAUGGAAGAAAUCACAGCUUGAUGCAGAUCUCAUCUCUUACCAGACUCUUCUUUCCAAAUUCUCAUGUGAUGUGACUUCUGCCAAAACUACCUUCUUCAGACAAAAGU